CCACGGCAUAUGGAAGUUCCCAGGCUAGGGUUAGAAUCAGAGUACAGCUGCUGGCCUACACCACAGCCACAACAACGUGGGAUCCGAGCCACGUCUGUGGCCCACACUACAGCUCACAGCAGCUCUGGGUCCUUAACCCACUGAGCGAGGCCAGGGAUGGAACCAGCAUCCUCAUGGAUCCUAGUCAGGUUUGUUAACCACUGAGACACGAAGGGAACUCCUGGGAACCAUUUUCCAUAUAUAACACUGAUUUGUGAGACACUCUUCGAAAGCAAUUUCUUGAAAUAAGUAAACAAACAUGAAAAGAGUGACCUCCCUUGUCCUCUUUAUCCAUUUGCCAAAUCGUGCUGUCAAAGAAUUGUGGUGACCACAUCACAUCCUCUCACCAUCUUUGUCACAUUUCAUUUGUCUAGAAAAGGAACUCCCAGGAACCAGCAAGACAAGUGCACACAGCUUAAAGGUUUCUGGUCUGCACUCACAUUUCCUCCUUGCACAUCUAAUGUCGUUAAUAUUUCAGCAGCUGCGGCACUAGGGUCAAACUGCAAAUUUUAUCUAUUUAUUUCUGAAUCCUCAGUCAUCGACUUUGGAGAGAAAGAGAUUGAGAGUGACACCGAGUGAGAGGGAGAGAGGAGGAGAAAGAGAUGCACUUUUUAAGAACUGACAGUCGGAAAGAAAACAGGGACAUCAGUCUUACAACCACAGCAGCUGAAUUCUGCCAACAACCAAAGACCCCAGUCAAGGACUUAGGCCCUAGAAGGGACUGUAGCACAGGCCAGACGGACUGUUUGAUUUCUGCCUGAGGAUACUCUGGGCUGAGAACCCUGCUAACCCAUUCCUGGAGUUCUGUCCGACACAACUCAGAAACGUGAACAGCUUUCUUUGUGGUGCUAAACUAGGAGAAUCUAUCCUUAGUGGGGAAUUCAGAAUUCCCAGUCUAGGAUCAGUUUGUUUGAGAAGGAACAGGCAAUGAAGGGAAGAGCACAGGAGGUAUCGUAUCGGGUAUUGAAGAAUAUUUACUUAUUGUGAAGAUAUUUUUGUGUUUUCAUCUACUUUUCCUUUAUAUUUCUUCUUCUGCUUGAACAUGGGGGGGGGUGUGUGCAUACAUUUUAUCUCCUUAUUUAUAAUUUUUUACUUAUAUUGUUUCAAUGCAUUUUAUAAGGAAAUGAGGCUCCAAGUGGCACACUCUUAUUCCAGGGCCGGGAAUUUUUUAGGGGGUUAGGAGUUUGAAAUGAACAAAAAUGGAACCUAGGGUAGGAAUGAAAGGGCCUACCCCAUAAAAUUAUAUAAUUAAAUAUUACUCCAAUAUUUAAAUAGCAUUUAUUACAUUAAUAUUCCACUUUACCUCUGUUUUGGCCACAAAAUAGGGAUCACUGAGCUAAAAAGAUGAUCUUGAGACUGUCUACAUGACAUGUUUCUAUCAACAGCAUUUUUGCUGAAUGAUUUUUCAGCCAGGUGAAAAAUAAACAUUAGAAUAGAAUUUUCUGUUUCUCUUUUCACAAAAGCUAACACAUAGUUUUAGUUUGCUAUCUCCAUUUCUUCCUCUUUCUUUAUAAAAUUAUAAAAUUUGUCUGUCCUUUUUUCCCUCUCAACCUCACAUAUAUAUAUGGCCCCCAACCAGAGCUAACUAAAAAAAAGUCAAGGAUUUCAGUUGACAUUUCUUCCAAAGCCUUUAAAAGUUACCCUUAUAUUUUUCAGAGUAGGUUGAUUAUAAAAAUAGAUCUUCUCUGUCAGACAGGUAAUUAAUACUCAGAAAAAAUUGGGUUUACAUGAGUCAUAACGAUUAAAUUUUGAGUACCUAUCUAGCUUUAUAUAUGUUAACUCCUUUAAUCCUCAUGCUGAUUAAAUGAGUGAAUACUAUUGUUACUAUUAUUUAGUAGAAUACUGAAGUUCACAGUGGCCCCAAAUUUAAAUAGUAUGGCAGGAAUUUAUAACCAUACAUUUUUUUUUUUUUUUACUGCAAGCUUUUAUUCGCUACCAUAAUAUUUGUGAGUGAAUGAAUUCUAAAAUUACAAUAUCCUUUGGCUUGCUCUAAAAAGAUUUCUGACUUAUCUUUUAAUUUCAGAAAAAUUACAUGGGCAUUCUUAGCACCUUUUCAUUUAUAGCUCAGCUAACUGCCUAGGAAUUUUCCUUGGUUAUUUACUCAUUACAUCUAUUUUAAGAAGGAACAUACAGUUAAAGGAACCAUGUGUUCCAUUUGAAAAUUAUCUUCCAUUAGAGGCAAAAGUACUACAAUAGUUCAGUGUUUUUCCCAUUCCUUCCAACUCUUGAAUUUCCCUUCAAAUCCCCAGUCCCUUCCUAUAUUUAGUAGAGUGAAAUACACCUGGAAUUCACUUUAAUUCCUUUCAUAUGGCAUCGUAAUUGUUACUUUAUGUUCCUCUAAGAACUGACUUUGGUACCUGAAUAUUAAAAAAAAAAAAAAAAUCAAAGUGUACAAAGUCAUUCAGGAGAUUGAUGGACACUGUAUCAUUCCAGUAAUCAGUGUAUUCAAAGUCCUAAAGACCAUCAAGGUAUCAGACUAUACUGGCUCCAGACCUGCCAUUGUCUAUUUUAGUGCAAUAGUAAUUUUGAACAUAAAAUUGAUUGAGAAUAUAUAAGACCCAUAAAUCACACUGCAAAUGGACAAAAUACAAUAAAUAUAUACAAGUAGACUAUAGUUACAACCCAGUUCAAUACAAUGGAUUAGGUAAACUUCUUUAUAAGUCAUAAAUAUUUUAACAAUCUUGUGAAUGACUGACUCUGCCCACACUAUUUUAUCAAGGAUAACAGAUUUGGAGGCAGAGGAGUUAAUGUGGGCGCCAACUUCUCUGGAAAUAAAUGAGGGGACAUGAAUGUGGCAUUAACUCACAUCAUGCUGCAAUGUGGUGGAUCAAGUGAGUCCAGGAUUGUCUAAAAGAAUUCCCCUAAAAGGCUCUUCGUGUAGAACUGCUAUCCAUUCUCUGGGAUACUUAUUGUAAUACCAUGUGGGGAACUCGUAAUAACACUCUUUUCAACGUGCGAGCAACUAGCCAUCUUAGAAAUAUCUUUCUAAGUAUUUUUCAACAAUUUCUACAUAGGUAACAUGUUACUUAACUUACUCAUAAUGUAGGAAUUUGUUCAUGUAACAUUAAGCACCUUACCAAUUAUUUUAAACAGCAACUGAAAUUAUUUUUCAUAAUAGUCAAUGAGUCAAAACACGGGGACAGAUACUGAAUUCCUAAAUUCACAUUCUUUUUUUUUCUUGUGAAAAUGAAUUUUUACUUGGAUCAAAUAUAAGAUAAUUGCAUUUUUUUAAAGGGAUAAGAGUAACAAGUAACCAGAGAACCCCCCAAUCAGGAUUGUCUGUGGGCAAUUAAUUUCAUCUUACAAGCUUGCUUCUGAAACUGCCUGGGUUCAUGGUAUCAAAACUCCAGCUUUUUAGGGGGGACUGAAGUAUAUAAUGUGCUUUUUGUAUUUCCUUGUGAUAAACUUUCUUUUAAAGAGUUCUAUCCAUUUAUACAUACAACUACAUAAUUAUUUCAUAUCAUAUAAUAUACAUUUGUAUGUAAUAUAUAAAUAUGAUUAACAUAAUAUCUAAGUUUUUCAUAUAAAUUUUAAUAACACUAUAAUAAUUUUUUUCUGUAGAAUAACCUAAACCGUUAGCAACCUGCUUAUUUGUCUUUUGGCUAACUCAAUGCCAACUAUUUAUGGAUCUUAACUAUAGCUACAAAAUCCCUCUUGCCAAAUAAUGUAACAUAAUCACGGAGGGGCCAACCCACACUUUCCUAGGUCCACGUACACUCAGUGGGUAAGAAGCCUAUAAGGGUGUGUAUACCAGAAGGGGGUAAUCUUAUAUAGGGCAUCCUAGAAUUAUAUCCACCGUAACUAGAUAAAAGAUGCUUAUUAUUUACAAAAAUUAUGAACAGUGUAAUAUUAUAAUAUUAUGAACAGACAGGCACAAUGGAUGACUUAAAUAUUUCAGAUAUUUUCUGGUAUUUUGGCAUAUUACAUUCUGAAGUGUUAGAUUUUAUCACUACAGAAAAUAUUCCUAGUAUUAAUUUUAAAUUAUUGACAGUGACAAUGUUGCUCCUUCAUUAAGUACUCUGAUGAUAUAAGCAGGGCUUGUGUUGACUCUUUCAGAAUACUUGAGGACUUUUUAAGGCAAAAUAUCUCUUCCUCCAAGGACAAUGCAACACAAGAAAUUUAGAAUAACUCACAUAUAAUUUGACUGAUCUUCCUGUGAAGUUAAGAUGUUAUACAGUCCUUUUCCAAUAUGGAACAGAAGUCAGCAAUGAGUUGAAUAGAUGUCAGAAGAGAGAAAUUAGACAAAGAAAUUGUUGCUCUCUUUGUGAUUAGAAUACUGUAUUAUGAAUACGUUACAGUCACAUGUUGGUAUAAAAAUAUUCUCCUAAGUAACAUUCUAAAUUACUGCUGACUCAUUCAAAAUACAAUUAACCCCUAGAACUGAGAGAAUCAACUAUUCACAUUAAUCUAAAUAAAAUUUCAGUUUUACCUUAGAAAUAGCUCAAGGUGAUAAAAGAAUUAACGGUAAUGUGAAAUGUGUCAUUAUUUUCUGCUCCAUUAAGUUGUUUACUGUCACAUUACCCUUAGUCUUUUCCUGGUUAAAAAAAAAAUGGCAAAGACAACUCUGAGUCUCUCAUUGGGCAAGUCCCCCUUCAGCAAGCAGCUGCACAGCUCAGACGAGGUGUUUUUCUGAUCCUCUGUUGGACCCAGUGCCGACCACACAGGAGUUAAGUCCAUCUCAGUUGACAUCGAGUGAUGAUAGUAACAGUACUUGUAAUACUGCUGGCAAAAUCAGAUUGCUUCCCCACCCAAGAUAUUCUUCCAUGUGCAGAAAUUUAGCCAAAAAAGAGGAAAUAUUUCUCUGCCUGUUCCGAUCUUUUUUUUUUUUUUUUUUUGCUGUGCCCAUGGCAUGUGAAAAUUCCCUGGCCAGAGAUCCAAGCCAAGCCAUAGCAGUGACUGGAGCCACAUCAGUGAGAGAAUACAGAGAAA
rnacentral:lncRNA from 1 species